GGGGUAUUCUGGUUGCCUUACCCAGCUCUGAAGUCUGUCAGCCUCUUCAGAUGUCACUUGCCCUGUGGUAAGGAAGUGUAGUUGGCAGCUGGUGCAGUGGCAAGAAGAGAAAGGAAGUUCCCCAAGACAGAAACAUCUCGGCAGAUGGAAUUCGCUGUUUCGCCCAGGCUGGAGUGAAGUGGCGCGAUGUGGGCUCACUGCAACCUCCGCCCCCAGGGUUCAAGGGAUUCUCCUGCCUCAGCCACCAUGAUUUAACACUGAGAAGUAGGCAGUCACAGAGAAAAAGUUUGGAAUAGUUCACCAGUGAAGUCAUCUCAACCAGCACAGGGCCUUGACUCCUAACAACAAUCACACGAACUUGGAAGAGGAUCCUUCCCCAGCUGAAACUUCACUUGAGACCUUCUCAUUGGCCAUCAUCGACAUCUGGAUUCAUGAUACAGAGAAACUUGAGUAAUGAUGACAAUAGCAGUCCAGCCUGCAUGGAUGCUGACAUGGAUGCUGUCUCCCAUUCUUACCACUGGAUGUCAAGAACUGCUAGAUGCGAUCCAGCCAGUCUGUACUCGACUCUCAGUUCCAUCUUCUCAACUCACAGUGUCUUCCAAAGUCCAUGCCACACCACAGCCUGGAAGAUCUCCCAAGGCUUUGAAUAACUCACCAGUGAAGUCAUCUUGACCUGGACAGAAAUUGAAUCCUCCCAAGAAUCCCAGGAGCUUGGAAGGGGAUCCUUCCCCAGAUGAGCCUUCCCUUGAAAUCUCUGCCAGGCAUCUGACCCAGAGAAACUGCCACACCACUUUACAGAGGAACACCAGGGAUGUUCCAGGAACCAUGCCCACAAAGCUUACUAAGCCAUGGGACUGCAUACUACACUCCCAAGGACAUCCACAAAGUCAAGACUCUUGCGUUUUCAGACUGUGAUCAUGGGCUACAUUCUCCAUACCAUGUUCAUAUCUACAGUGAAAAAACAAACUCCUGCAUCCUGGAGACCUACAAUGAGAGACACAGCUGACCUUGACCAUAUUUCUUACUUCUCAGAAGACUGUAGCAGUAAUUCAGGUGCUAUUAUUUGGGGCAUUUAUAUUUCAGUAAACCUUCUUACCCCUCUAA
rnacentral:lncRNA from 1 species